rnacentral:misc_RNA from 1 species
UUAUUAACCUCCAUGCUAUUUUUAUUAUAAUAAAAUAUUAUAUUAUAAAUAAUUUAAGGAAAGAACGCCGAGUUUAGAGAGAUACUCCUAAGACAACAGAUAAAAUGACAAAAUAUUCGUAUUAAUAAAGGUUUUACGAAAAAAGGUAAAUAAAAGAAAAUGAACAAAACAAUCGCUUUAUUAUGAGUUUUAACUCAAAUAAGUAUUUCUAAUUAAAUAUGGCAGAUCCUAGGAAAACUCAUUGAAAAAAAAUCACAAUAUGCAAAAGAUAAAAUUAAACAAGUGAAAUAUGUUUAAAAUGUUAAAAGUUAAAGUAAUUUAAUAAUACUUUAUUGGCAAAGUCAAAUAAUAAUUACAUAUAACUUACUUGUAUUACAACACUGCCAAUAUACAAUUUUAAAUUACUUACGUUUUUAAUUCUUUGUAAAGAUAGUAUCAAUUUAUCUUAACUUGCGAUGGUCAGAUUCAACAAACUUUGUCAGCCUGGACAUCCAAAAUUUGUCUUCAAGAUAGCACUUAUGCUGUGUGGUUACGUCAGUAAAGAAUAUAGUCACCCCCGCUCUUCUGGUGGAUGUCGUAAGAGGUGACUAAGGAUAACACAGAUCCACUACCACCUUGGAACUUAUUAAGCCGACCGAUGGCGGGAUAACCACCCAACUGUUGGCUUUUAAAUACACAGGCUGAAGACGGGCAGCAGCAUCUUCAGUGCAACAAAGCCAGUCCUACGGUCACCAACCCACCUGUCCAGCGUGGUGACAAUGGACAAAAAACAUGAGUUCGCGCCAUUUUUGGCGCGAACUUAGAGAGGCUUAUGUCCAGCAGUGGACUGUGAUAGUCUGAUGUGAUGAUAGCACUUAAUUUUUUUUAAUAGAAAUUAUAAUGUUUUUUUUUUACAUUUACUGAAGUCAUACAAACAUGACUGUGUGAAUAGGAAUAUUGUAACAUAAAUAAUGUUAAACAAAGUAUUUAAUUGAAGUCAUAUAGAAGGUUGAUAUAAAAAAAUAUAAGACAAAUAAUGAUAAUUAGAUUACAUAAUAACAAACGAAUCUUUGGCUUAUGCCUAGUGGCGUAAGUUAAUAAAAUUUGAUGAAUACUGAUGGAAUGAGUGAAAAUGAGACUUAUAAUUAUUAUCUACACAAAUUUAGAAAAUAAAACUAAAUUUUUUACAUCUUCCUAAUUUUAAACCUACAUUUUAAAAAUAGCCGGAACUAAAUUUUCUAAAUUUAAAAUAAAGCAACCACAUAUUAAGUACUCUACUUAUAUUUUUGAAUUAGUAUCCAAAUAUAUAAUGUUGAAAAAAAAGUAACCAAUGGAUGGUUCUACUAAUAAAAAAUAAAAUUUGUUUUUUUUUUAACUGCUAAGUUAUUUCCUGCCAUUAUUUCUCAAUAAAAAAAAAUAUUCUGAAGUUUAUCAUAUGGUGUAAAACUAUUUGAAAUGUUAAAUUAACUCAAACUCUGAUUUACGUGUCAUCAUAAUAAUAAAUUAAUUCACGAUAUUCUUUAUCUUUAUAUGUUAAAUCCCAUCUUCCUCAUGCACGCUUUGUGAUCUUCGAUCAAAGGACCACAGUUUUCUUCACCUCUCUCUAUGAUGCUGAAACAAUAUAUUUAAUACCUUACGCAUUAUAAAAUAAAUUUAUGAAAAAGUACUUAUUAAUUGAA